CCUACGGGUGGCUGCAGUAGGGAAUCUUCCGCAAUGGACGAAAGUCUGACGGAGCAACGCCGCGUGAGCGAAGAAGGCCUUCGGGUCGUAAAGCUCUGUUGUUAGGGAAGAACAAGUAACGCAGUAACUGGCGUUACCGUGACGGUACCUAACGAGAAAGCCACGGCUAACUACGUGCCAGCAGCCGCGGUAAUACGUAGGUGGCAAGCGUUGUCCGGAAUUAUUGGGCGUAAAGCGCGCGCAGGCGGUUCCUUAAGUCUGCUGUGAAAGCCCACGGCUCAACCGUGGGGGGUCAUUGGAAACCGGGGGACUUGAGUGCAGAAGAGGGGUGCGGAAUUCCACGUGUAGCGGUGAAAGGCGUAGAGAUGGUGAGGAACACCAGUGGCGAAGGCGGCUGUCUAGUCUGUAACUGACGCUGAGGCGCGAAAGCGUGGGGAGCAAACAGGAUUAGAUUCUCCAGUAGUC
rnacentral:rRNA from 1 species